rnacentral:rRNA from 1 species
AGUGAACGCUGGCGGUAGGCCUAACACAUGCAAGUCGAACGGCAGCACAGUAAGAGCUUGCUCUUACGGGUGGCGAGUGGCGGACGGGUGAGGAAUACAUCGGAAUCUACUUUUUCGUGGGGGAUAACGUAGGGAAACUUACGCUAAUACCGCAUACGACCUACGGGUGAAAGCAGGGGAUCUUCGGACCUUGCGCGAUUGAAUGAGCCGAUGUCGGAUUAGCUAGUUGGCGGGGUAAAGGCCCACCAAGGCGACGAUCCGUAGCUGGUCUGAGAGGGUGAUCAGCCACACUGGAACUGAGACACGGUCCAGACUCCUACGGGAGGCAGCAGUGGGGAAUAUUGGACAAUGGGCGCAAGCCUGAUCCAGCCAUACCGCGUGGGUGAAGAAGGCCUUCGGGUUGUAAAGCCCUUUUGUUGGGAAAGAAAAGCAGCAGGUUAAUACCCCGCUGUUUUGACGGUACCCAAAGAAUAAGCACCGGCUAACUUCGUG